rnacentral:rRNA from 1 species
ACAUUGCUAACGCGGUGCUAAUACCGGAUGUGGUCUCCAGUUUGCAUGAACAGGAGAUUAAAGGUGACCUCUACUUGUAAGUUAUCGUUUAGGGAUGGUCUUGCGGACCAUUAGCUUGUUGGCGGGGUAACGGCCCACCAAUGCUGCGAUGGUUAGCCGGCUUAAGAGGGUGAUCGGCCACAUUGGGACUGAGAUACGGCCCAGACUCCUACGGGAGGCAGCAGUAGGGAAUUUUGCGCAAUGGACGAAAGUCUGACGCAGCAACGCCGCGUGAGCGAUGAAGGUUUUCGGAUUUGUAAAGCUCUGUUGAGUGGGAAGAAAACUCUCCGGGAUAAUACCCCGGAGACUUGACGGUACCACUCGAUGAAGCCCCGGCUAAAUACGUGCCAGCAGCCGCGGUAAUACGUAUGGGGCCAAGCGUUGUUCGGAAUCACUGGGCGUAAAGGGAGUGUAGGCGGAAAGGUAAGUUAGAAGUGUAAUCCACGGGCUUAACCCGUGACUCGCUUUUAAUACUGCUUUUCUUGAGUAUGGGAGAGGGAGAUGGAAUUCCAGGUGUAGCGGUGGAAUGCGUAGAUAUCUGGAAGAACACCAGUGGCGAAGGCGGUCUCCUGGCCCAAUACUGACGCUGAGGCUCGAAAGCGUGGGGAGCGAACAGGAUUAGAUACCCUGGUAGUCCACGCCGUAAACGAUGGACACUAGAUGUUGGCCUCUUCGGGGGUCGGUGUCGUAGCUAACGCGUUAAGUGUCCCGCCUGGGAAGUACGCUCGCAAGAGUGAAACUCAAAGGAAUUGACGGGGGCCCGCACAAGCGGUGGAGCAUGUGCUUUAAUUCGAUGCAACGCGAAGAACCUUACCUGGACUUGACAUGGGGGUGAAAGUUUUCAGAGAUGAAAACCCUUCCUUCGGGAACGCCCUACACAGGUGCUGCAUGGUUGUCGUCAGCUCGUGUCGUGAGAUGUUGGGUUAAGUCCCGCAACGAGCGCAACCCUUGUCCUUAGUUGCCAGCGGGUCAUGCCGGGAACUCUAGGGAGACUGCCUGGUACAACCAGGAGGAAGGUGGGGAUGACGUCAAAUCAUCAUGGCCCUUACGUCCAGGGCUAGACACGUGCUACAAUGGCCGGUACAGAGGGCUGCAAGACUGCGAAGUCAAGCCAAUCCCUAAAAACCGGUCUCAGUUCGGAUUGGAGUCUGCAAUUCGACUCCAUGAAGGUGGAA